ACCAUUUAAAAAGGUCAAAAUUUGUAUCUGAUUUGGAAGAGGGGAAAUGGUUUGAACAUGGAAAUAUUUCUAAAAUAUGAAACAAGGGGUGUUUCUUCCUUUUUUUUUUUUAAAUAUGUUUUCACUUGCAUUUGCCAACAGACAGGAUGGUGUGAAUUAUCUCAGCUAAAAUCUCACAAGACAAUGUUUGACCAAAUGUAACAUUAGUGUCAUGUAAACAGCUGAAAAAAGAUGUCCACAGACAGCUGUGCUCUUUUUCCUGCUUGAUCUGUGCACUACUAAUUCUAAAAGAGACAUCUUAGAAACCUUG